rnacentral:lncRNA from 1 species
UUUUUAAAAGAUUUGCAGCCAAACAAUGAUUCUCUCUCUCUCUGUGUUUUAAGAUUUGCAAUAUAAUAGUGCUUUUUCUUUAUAUAGUUUUUCAAGAAUUAAUGAAGUGGAUAUGCACAGCAAUGAAACGAAAGAGAGCAUUUGUUGUGAAAUUAAAUUAUCAGAAAAGAGAAAAAAGCCAGUGGUCAAAGUGUUUUGGGCAGUGCAAGAGCAGAUAAGAGAGGGAAAGACGGGGAAAGACAAUGGCAGUACAGCAACCUCAGAGCACGCCAUAAAGAAAGAAGGGUAAAUAAAGAAGACGACAGAGGCUAGAAGGUUUGCUAGGCUUAAACAGGAGAAAAGAAAGGCACCCAUAGGAGCUUCUGUUCACUGAUGGAGGGUACAGCGGUCCACAGAAAUUAGCGAGAUGAGCUACAGGAAAAAGGCCACGCAUUUUACUCUGAAUCUGUGACAUGUAACAUGUAAUAUCCCCCUCGACGAGGCAUGUCAUAUGGACAUGUCGAGCGACAUGGUGUGCGGGCGUGCGAGGCAUUCGGACCAGACAAGGGAAACAAGCGGGAAAGAAGGGGCGGGUGGUGGCUCUUUGCCUUUCUGGUGUUUGGGCCAUAGUUUCUUGUAGGCCCAAUAGUCCAAACCCCAAAGCAUUUGCUACCACGUGCGGCUUCAGGCCCACAUCUCACAAUCACCAUUUAAUACGUCACACGUGUGCCUGAUCGAUUUGAGAUCUGAAAUCCUUUAGUAUUCCUUGC